rnacentral:rRNA from 1 species
CCUACGGGGGGCAGCAGUGGGGAAUAUUGGACAAUGGGCGAAAGCCUGAUCCAGCCAUGCCGCGUGUGUGAAGAAGGCCUUCGGGUUGUAAAGCACUUUCAGUGGGGAAGAAAGCCUUGGGGCUAAUACCCUCGAGGAAGGACAUCACCCACAGAAGAAGCACCGGCUAACUCCGUGCCCGCAGCCGCGGUAAUACGGAGGGUGCGAGCGUUAAUCGGAAUUACUGGGCGUAAAGCGCGCGUAGGCGGUCUGAUAAGCCGGUUGUGAAAGCCCCGGGCUCAACCUGGGAACGGCAUCCGGAACUGUCAGGCUAGAGUGCAGGGGAGGAAGGUAGAAUUCCCGGUGUAGCGGUGAAAUGCGUAGAGAUCGGGAGGAAUACCAGUGGCGAAGGCGGCCUUCUGGACUGACACUGACGCUGAGGUGCGAAAGCGUGGGUAGCAAACAGGAUUAGAUACCCCGGUAGUC